rnacentral:rRNA from 1 species
AGUCGAACGGUGAAGCCCAGCUUGCUGGGUGGAUCAGUGGCGAACGGGUGAGUAACACGUGAGCAACCUGCCCCUGACUCUGGGAUAAGCGCUGGAAACGGCGUCUAAUACUGGAUACGAGUAGCGACCGCAUGGUCAGUUACUGGAAAGAUUUAUUGGUUGGGGAUGGGCUCGCGGCCUAUCAGCUUGUUGGUGAGGUAAUGGCUCACCAAGGCGUCGACGGGUAGCCGGCCUGAGAGGGUGACCGGCCACACUGGGACUGAGACACGGCCCAGACUCCUACGGGAGGCAGCAGUGGGGAAUAUUGCACAAUGGGCGCAAGCCUGAUGCAGCAACGCCGCGUGAGGGAUGACGGCCUUCGGGUUGUAAACCUCUUUUAGCAGGGAAGAAGCGAAAGUGACGGUACCUGCAGAAAAAGCGCCGGCUAACUACGUGCCAGCAGCCGCGGUAAUACGUAGGGCGCAAGCGUUAUCCGGAAUUAUUGGGCGUAAAGAGCUCGUAGGCGGUUUGUCGCGUCUGCUGUGAAAUCCGGAGGCUCAACCUCCGGCCUGCAGUGGGUACGGGCAGACUAGAGUGCGGUAGGGGAGAUUGGAAUUCCUGGUGUAGCGGUGGAAUGCGCAGAUAUCAGGAGGAACACCGAUGGCGAAGGCAGAUCUCUGGGCCGUAACUGACGCUGAGGAGCGAAAGGGUGGGGAGCAAACAGGCUUAGAUACCCUGGUAGUCCACCCCGUAAACGUUGGGAACUAGUUGUGGGGUCCAUUCCACGGAUUCCGUGACGCAGCUAACGCAUUAAGUUCCCCGCCUGGGGAGUACGGCCGCA